GUGGGGAAUCUUAGACAAUGGGGGAAACCCUGAUCUAGCCAUGCCGCGUGAGCGAUGAAGGCCUUAGGGUUGUAAAGCUCUUUCAGCUGGGAAGAUAAUGACUGUACCAGCAGAAGAAGCCCCGGCUAACUCCGUGCCAGCAGCCGCGGUAAUACGGAGGGGGCUAGCGUUGUUCGGAAUUACUGGGCGUAAAGCGCACGUAGGCGGACCGGAAAGUCAGAGGUGAAAUCCCAGGGCUCAACCUUGGAACUGCCUUUGAAACUCCUGGUCUUGAGGUCGAGAGGGGUGAGUGGAAUUCCGAGUGUAGAGGUGAAAUUCGGAGAUAUUCGGAGGAACACCAGUGGCGAAGGCGGCUCACUGGCUCGAUACUGACGCUGAGGUGCGAAAGCGUGGGGAGCAAACAGGAUUAGAUACCCCAGUAGUCC
rnacentral:rRNA from 1 species